rnacentral:rRNA from 1 species
UACGAAGGGGGCUAGCGUUGUUCGGAAUUACUGGGCGUAAAGCGCACGUAGGCGGACUUGUAAGUCAGGGGUGAAAUCCCGGGGCUCAACCCCGGAACUGCCUUUGAUACUGCAAGUCUAGAGGUCGAGAGAGGUGAGUGGAAUUCCGAGUGUAGAGGUGAAAUUCGUAGAUAUUCGGAGGAACACCAGUGGCGAAGGCGGCUCACUGGCUCGAUACUGACGCUGAGGUGCGAAAGCGUGGGGAGCAAACAGG